AACGAACGCUGGCGGCAUGCCUAACACAUGCAAGUCGAACGAGACCUUCGGGUCUAGUGGCGCACGGGUGCGUAACGCGUGGGAACCUGCCCUUAGGUUCGGAAUAACUCCCCGAAAGGGGUGCUAAUACCGGAUAAUGUCUUCGGACCAAAGAUUUAUCGCCUUGGGAUGGGCCCGCGUUGGAUUAGCUAGUUGGUAGGGUAAAAGCCUACCAAGGCGACGAUCCAUAGCUGGUCUGAGAGGAUGAUCAGCCACACUGGGACUGGGACACGGCCCAGACUCCUACGGGAGGCAGAAGUGGGGAAUAUUGGACAAUGGGCGAAAGCCGGAUCCAGCAAGGCCGCGUGAGUGAUGAAGGCCUUAGGGUUGUAAAGCUCUUUUACCCGGGAUGAUAAGGACAGUACCGGGAGAAUAAGCUCCGGCUAACUCCGU
rnacentral:rRNA from 1 species